UGUUUCAUGGUGUAAUGGUAGCACGACAGUUUUUGGCGCUGCAAGUUCAAGUUCGAUCCUUGAUGAAACAA
rnacentral:tRNA from 1 species